AUGUGCACAGGAAAAACCACAACAUCACAGCAAAAAUGGACUCCACCGCCAUCAAGUUACCUGAAAAUUAAUGUUGAUGCAGCUUUUAAGGAAGAUCACACAGGAGGUUGGGGCUACAUCAUCCCCAAUCCAGAGGGAUUUGCAGAGGGAUUUGCAGAGGCAGCAGGAGCGGGGAGGUUGAGGCAUAUCAUGGAUGCUCUCCAGGCAGAAAGCCUAGCCCUCAUCGGAGCAAUUGAAAGAGCAACCCAUGUUUUAGCGUCUCAUGGCGCUGGUUUGGAGUCGGGAAACCAGGUUCACUGGCUCCACGAUGUCCCAGACUUUGUAAAUUCUGCAGUUACCAGCGAUUUAGCUAGCCUGCCUGAGUAA
rnacentral:rRNA from 1 species